GGGGAAUUUUGGACAAUGGGCGCAAGCCUGAUCCAGCAAUGCCGCGUGCAGGAUGAAGGCCUUCGGGUUGUAAACUGCUUUUGUACGGAGCGAAAAGGUCUGCCCUAAUACGGUGGGCUCAUGACGGUACCGUAAGAAUAAGCACCGGCUAACUACGUGCCAGCAGCCGCGGUAAUACGUAGGGUGCGAGCGUUAAUCGGAAUUACUGGGCGUAAAGCGUGCGCAGGCGGUUAUAUAAGACAGAGGUGAAAUCCCCGGGCUCAACCUGGGAACUGCCUUUGUGACUGCAUAGCUAGAGUACGGUAGAGGGGGAUGGAAUUCCGCGUGUAGCAGUGGAAUGCGUAGAUAUGCGGAGGAACACCGAUGGCGAAGGCAAUCCCCUGGACCUGUACUGACGCUCAUGCACGAAAGCGUGGGGAGCAAACA
rnacentral:rRNA from 1 species